UUUAACAUCCAUACCACCUUGAACAUGCUUGAGCUUAUCUGGUCUUGGGAACAUAAGCAGGGUCAGGCCUGGUUAGUUCUUGGAUGUGACUCAGGAGGGAAGGAGGAAGAAAG
rnacentral:rRNA from 1 species